UACGGAGGGUGCGAGCGUUAAUCGGAAUUACUGGGCGUAAAGGGUGCGUAGGUUGUUAUAUAAGUUGACUGUGAAAGUCCUGGGCUCAACCUGGGGAUGUCAGUUAAGACUGUAUGACUUGAGUAUGGGAGAGGGUAGUGGAAUUUCCGGUGUAGCGGUGAAAUGCGUAGAUAUCGGAAGGAACACCAGUGGCGAAAGCGGCUUCCUGGUCCAGCACCGACGUUCAGGCACGAAAGCGUGGGGAGCAAACAGG
rnacentral:rRNA from 1 species